AAGGGUCGCUGUCAAUUUUUUUAGAAAUGCCAAAUACUAAUUGGAUUAGCAACGUCAUACAUUACAAAACUAAAAAAUUGAAAUCUAAAAGAAACGAAAUUUUAGAAAUAGCAACCGAUUUCUACCGUGAUCUUUAUAACGACGAGCAAAAAACAUCAACUUAAAGCAACAAGAAAGUUUUUGAAGAACCCAUUCCAAACAUACUAAAAGACGGAGUUCUUAAAGCCCUAAAAUCACAAAAAAUAGGGAAAACACCAGCCUGUCGAUUCUGUAACUCACUUUACAAAUUCUCACAGCGGAUUCCGCACUCAAAUCACUCCUGAAGGUGUCAGGUUAAAAUUUGGUAUACUGAUAAACAAUAACCGCGACAAAAGCGCCGCUCAAGUGAGAUUGUUUACAUUUGGAACUAUAAUUAAAGACUCACAUCACUUACGCUCAAAUAGUCUUGGUAUUUCGCAUUCUGAUGACACCAUUUGACAUCUCGUGUAAAUUAAAAUCGGCAGUGAACUCGAUUUUUUACGUCAAAUUAAAAGUUGCUUUUUCCUAGGUGAAAUCAUGAUUGACAAGUGAGUUAGCCAUUUUUUAGCGAAGUUAUAGGCUGUUUUACGUGAAAAUAUUCUAAUAUAGGACAAUCUAUAUUUAUGUGAAAGCCCGUCCACUUUAAACCUCUAUUUCAAUAAAUACAUUAUGUAAAUAAUUAAAAAAAACUUAAUACAAUAUCUAUAGAUGGCGAAGAAAAAGGCAUGAAACGACCAAUUAGUUUCUCGGCCUUGGUUACUAUCGCUUUUUUCCAAUACCCAAGACAUGACGUAGUAUUUACGAAACGUAAAACAUUUCCUCAUUCCUAUAUGGGCUGCGGAGAUGAACGAAGAGUCUAGUAAAUACAUAAUCUAAGAGUUCCAAUGUUCAAAAAAUCCUGGAUGUAUUUUUCUGCCUUUGUAGAAGAAUAUCACAUUUAUAUCAAUGACAAGGACUCUGGAUAUAGAAAGACACAAUAGUGCAGAUAUUUUCAAAUAAUUGAACUUCAACUUAAUAAUAAAUGAUAUCACAGCCCGAACAACCAAAAUUGGCAGUUCUUAUAUCUUUAUAAAUAUUGAUAGGUAUAACAUCAAGGUUUUGAAUAAAAACAUUAUUCUGCUUUACACAAGUAUAAAAUACCAUCAUGAUGUACAUGAUAGUUUAAGUACUUAUUAAGCUUUUUAUUUUUUUGUUCAUAACAAUUACUUUUUCUUAACUGAUUAGAUAUAUUAUAUUUGUCUACAAAAUAAAGUAGUAAUUGAUUAGCUCUUUGUGAGGCUGGGUUUGAUUAGUUUUUAUUAUACUUAAGUUUAAGUUUGUAUUACUGAAAGUAAUUUU